UACGGCCACAGAACUGAGAAAAUAUCGCAUCCCGUCUGCUCUGCGCAAUUUUAAGCUCAGUAUCGCUUGGCUAGUACCAUCGUGGGGGACCAGAUGGGAAUCCCGAGUGCUGUAGUU